rnacentral:rRNA from 1 species
AUUGAACGCUGGCGGCAGGCUUAACACAUGCAAGUCGAGCGGAGACUUCGGUCUUAGCGGCGAACGGGUGAGUAAUACCUAGGAAUCUGCCUAUUAGUGGGGGAUAACGAAUCGAAAGGUUCGCUAAUACCGCAUACGUCCUACGGGAGAAAGGGGGGGAUCUUCGGACCUCUCGCUAAUAGAUGAGCCUAGGCCGGAUUAGCUAGUUGGUAGGGUAAAGGCCUACCAAGGCGACGAUCUGUAGCUGGUCUGAGAGGAUGGCCAGCCACACUGGGACUGAGACACGGCCCAGACUCCUACGGGAGGCAGCAGUGGGGAAUAUUGGACAAUGGGCGAAAGCCUGAUCCAGCAAUGCCGCGUGAGUGAUGAAGGCCCUAGGGUUGUAAAAGGCUCUUUUUACCCCGGGGAUGAUAAUGACAGUACCGGGAGAAUAAAGCUCCGGCUAACUUCGUGCCAGCAGCCGC